rnacentral:rRNA from 1 species
AGUGAACGCUGGCGGUAGGCCUAACACAUGCAAGUCGAACGGCAACACAGGAGAGCUUGCUCUCUGGGUGGCGAGUGGCGGACGGGUGAGGAAUACAUCGGAAUCUGCCCAGUCGUGGGGGAUAACGUAGGGAAACUUACGCUAAUACCGCAUACGACCUUCGGGUGAAAGAGGGGGAUCGCAAGACCUCUCGCGAUUGGAUGAGCCGAUGUCGGAUUAGCUAGUUGGCGGGGUAAUGGCCCACCAAGGCGACGAUCCGUAGCUGGUCUGAGAGGAUGAUCAGCCACACUGGAACUGAGACACGGUCCAGACUCCUACGGGAGGCAGCAGUGGGGAAUAUUGGACAAUGGGCGCAAGCCUGAUCCAGCCAUACCGCGUGGGUGAAGAAGGCCUUCGGGUUGUAAAGCCCUUUUGUUGGGAAAGAAAUCUUUCAGGCUAAUACCCUGGGAGGAUGACGGUACCCAAAGAAUAAGCACCGGCUAACUUCGUG